rnacentral:rRNA from 1 species
UAGGGAAUCUUCCACAAUGGACGCAAGUCUGAUGGAGCAACGCCGCGUGAGUGAAGAAGGUUUUCGGAUCGUAAAGCUCUGUUGUUGGUGAAGAAGGAUAGAGGCAGUAACUGGUCUUUAUUUGACGGUAAUCAACCAGAAAGUCACGGCUAACUACGUGCCAGCAGCCGCGGUAAUACGUAGGUGGCAAGCGUUGUCCGGAUUUAUUGGGCGUAAAGCGAGCGCAGGCGGAAUGAUAAGUCUGAUGUGAAAGCCCACGGCUCAACCGUGGAACUGCAUCGGAAACUGUCAUUCUUGAGUGCAGAAGAGGAGAGUGGAACUCCAUGUGUAGCGGUGGAAUGCGUAGAUAUAUGGAAGAACACCAGUGGCGAAGGCGGCUCUCUGGUCUGCAACUGACGCUGAGGCUCGAAAGCAUGGGUAGCGAACAGGAUUAGAUACCCUGGUAGUCCAUGCCGUAAACGAUGAGCGCUAGGUGUUGGGGACUUUCCGGUCCUCAGUGCCGCAGCAAACGCAUUAAGCG